GGCGUGUUGAUUUGACUCCCUACUACUGCUGUUUCUAUUGCUGCCGUUAUACGUGUUUUUUUUUCAAUCGCCUAUCAAACACAUCGGCUAACAGCACAUCGCCCGGCCAGAACGAGAUAGCAGAUCGCACAUGCACGCCCAAGUACACCAAUUGCUGCCACAGUGUUAGAAUGGUAUAAGAGUGUUUGGUGUGAUUUUGUUACACAAAUUAUUAUUCAACUCACAUUGAGACAUCUAGUGCGUUUCGUGGAACUGUCUUUCUUGGAACCCGUUGGAGCGUUUUUGGCACUUGCACAGUGGAUGCGAAGCUAUCCAACAUGCUUUCUCGCUCUCAUAGGUUUACUGGUCUGUUGGAUAGAACGAGAAAGCAUGUUGAUUUUAUGAGUUGAGUUGUGCCGCUUGUUCUUUGUGGUAUCACUUUCCCUUUCGCACGGUGCGCCAACUCUUGGUUUGUGACCGGUAGCGAAAGAGAGAGAGAAAGAGAGAGAGAGAGAGAGAGAGAGAGAGAGAGAGAGAGAGAGAGAGAGCGUGCGAUAGGGUUUACAAUUGAGAAGAGAUUAAGAAAUGCGUACUGCCCUAUCGCAUUCUUCUGUCUCUCUUUGGCAUGCGCUCUUUCUCUCAGCCAGAUCAUUAAGCUGGUGGUACACGGGCGCAAAGAUGGACCCAUGCGGUUAUGUUGAUAAUGAAACAUUUCCGGCAGUUUGCAGUGAUUUACGAGAAAGACGGUGCAAAAUGACAUUCUCUUUAUUCAAUGUUCAUACUUGAUCGAAAAUAAUGACAAGCUAAUAAUGACAAUAAAAAAAAACGAAAUAAAAAAUACAAUAAAA